rnacentral:rRNA from 1 species
CUACGGGGGGCUGCAGUGGGGAAUAUUGCACAAUGGGGGAAACCCUGAUGCAGCAACGCCGCGUGGAGGAUGACGCAUUUCGGUGUGUAAACUCCUUUUAUAUCCCAAGAUAAUGACGGUAGGAUAUGAAUAAGCACCGGCUAACUCCGUGCCAGCAGCCGCGGUAAUACGGAGGGUGCAAGCGUUACUCGGAAUCACUGGGCGUAAAGGAUGCGUAGGCUGGAAAUCAAGUCAGGAGUGAAAUCCAACGGCUCAACCGUUGAACUGCUUCUGAAACUGGUUACCUAGAAUAUGGGAGAGGUAGAUGGAAUUAGUGGUGUAGGGGUAAAAUCCGUAGAGAUCACUAGGAAUACCGAUUGCGAAGGCGAUCUACUGGAACAUAAUUGACGCUGAGGCAUGAAAGCGUGGGGAGCAAACAGGAUUAGAUACCCCGGUAGUC